rnacentral:rRNA from 1 species
CUACGGGGCGCAGCAGUGGGGGAUAUUGGACAAUGGGGGAAACCCUGAUCCAGCAAUGCCGCGUGUGUAAAGAAGGCCUGCGGGUUGUAAAGCACUUUCGGUUGGGAGGACUGCUUCUAGCACUAAUAUUGUUGGAAGUUGACGUUACCUUCAGAAGAAGCACCGGCUAACUCCGUGCCAGCGGCCGCGGUAAUACGGAGGGUGCAAGCGUUAAUCGGAAUUACUGGGCGUAAAGCGCGCGUAGGCGGCUAGAUCAGUCGGGUGUGAAAGCCCCGGGCUUAACCUGGGAACUGCAUCCGAUACUGUCUAGCUUGAGUACAGGAGAGGAGAGUGGAAUUCCACAUGUAGCGGUGAAAUGCGUAGAUAUGUGGAGGAACACCAAUGGCGAAGGCAGCUCUCUGGCCUGAUACUGACGCUGAGGUGCGAAAGCGUGGGGAGCAAACAGGAUUAGAUACCCCAGUAGUC